rnacentral:misc_RNA from 1 species
GAUGAAGAACGUAGUGAAAUGCGAUAAGUAGUGUGAAUUGCAGAAUUACCUGAAUCAUCGAAUCUUUGAACGCACAUUGCGCCCCCUGGUAUUCCUGGGGGCAUGCCUGUUCGAGCGUCAUUAACAACCAAUCGGGCGGGGCUUUUGCAUGCUCCCGCUCGGCCAUGGGGGAUGGACGUCGUCGGACGCCCACCCCCGAAAUGCAACGGCGGACGGCCACCCGUGGCACUGCGGCGUAGUAAGUUAACCCUUCGCGCGCGCCCACGGAGUGGACUGCCCGGCCGCUUGAACCCCCACACAUCCUACGGUUGACCUCGGAUCAGGUAGGGAUACCCGCUGAACUUAAGCAUAUCAAUAAGCGGAGGA